rnacentral:rRNA from 1 species
GCCCCGAGAUGAGUUCUCCCUGAGACUAUAAGUCUCCUGAAGGACGUUAAAGACGAUGACGUUGAUAGGCCGGGUGUGUAAGCGCAGCGAUGCGUUGAGCUAACCGGUACUAAUGAACCGUGAGGCUUAACCUUAC